GGAGGCUGUAAAGAAAAUCUGUCAGAUGUAGUCUAGAAAAAUGAACAGAUCCAAAAGGGUUUAGAUGAGUUCAUGGACUGAUGGUUUUAUAAUGGGAUUAUUUAAGGAAGUUGAGAGUUUUAGGGUCUAUCCAUAACCUUUUGAGAGCUAUGUCAUUCAGGGCAGCGACUCCCAGCAGUGCUGUAGAGCCAUCUCAUUGGACAUUAGUAAGACCAUUGACCCUAACAUAUUCCAAAGUGCUAAUUCCUCUUUCCCCUAUGCAUCUCUCAGGGCCAAGAAUGUAGGCAUGAAUUUAAGAUGGCAGAGGCUGAAGCUAUGCCUUCAAGUUGGAAUUGGACCUGUGCAUCUGGUGGGUUUUACCAGCUGAAGGAGUGAUUUCAUCAUCAUGCUAUUUUAGUUUAAGGGAGAAGGCGACUUUUUGGCAAAUACUGCAUCUUCAGCCAGGAGAAGUUGGCUGAGUACAAAAGAGCUUUUGAAGCGAACUCACUCUCUAGGAAAGGAAGAUGGAUAAAGGCCAAUAAAUGAACACAGACUUAAGUGUAUACAUAACUUCAAGUAGUGGUAAGUCAUACGAAGAAAAAUUGAACAAGGUAAGUGAAUAGAU